rnacentral:rRNA from 1 species
UCGGGAAUUUUGCUCAAUGGGGGAAACCCUGAAGCAGCAACGCCGCGUGAGGGAUGAAGGCCUCGGUUGUAAACCUCUUUUCUCAGGGAAGAUAAUGACGGUACCUGAGGAAUAAGCCACGGCUAACUACGUGCCAGCAGCCGCGGUAAUACGUAGGUGGCGAGCGUUGUCCGGAUUUACUGGGCGUAAAGAGCGCGCAGGCGGUCGUACAAGUCGCGUGUGAAAGCCCCCGGCUCAACUGGGGAGGGUCACGCGAUACUGUUCGACUCGAAGGCAGGAGAGGGAAGUGGAAUUCCCGGUGUAGUGGUGAAAUGCGUAGAUAUCGGGAGGAACACCAGUGGCGAAGGCGACUUCCUGGCCUGUUCUUGACGCUGAGGCGCGAAAGCUAGGGUAGCAAACGGGAUUAGAUACCCCGGUAGUCCUAGCCGUAAACGAUGGACACUAGGUGUUGGUGGUUAUCAACCCCCGCCAGUGCCGAAGCUAACGCAUUAAGUGUCCCGCCUGGGGGAGUACGGCCG